AACGCUAGCUACAGGCUUAACACAUGCAAGUCGAGGGGAAACGAUAGAGAAAGCUUGCUUUUUCUAGGCGUCGACCGGCGCACGGGUGAGUAACGCGUAUCCAACCUGCCCAUCACUUGGGGAUAACCUUGCGAAAGUAAGACUAAUACCCAAUGAUGUCCAUAGAAGACAUCUGAAAUGGAUUAAAGAUUUAUCGGUGAUGGAUGGGGAUGCGUCUGAUUAGCUUGUUGGCGGGGUAACGGCCCACCAAGGCAACGAUCAGUAGGGGUUCUGAGAGGAAGGUCCCCCACAUUGGAACUGAGACACGGUCCAAACUCCUACGGGAGGCAGCAGUGAGGAAUAUUGGUCAAUGGGCGAGAGCCUGAACCAGCCAAGUAGCGUGCAGGAUGACGGCCCUAUGGGUUGUAAACUGCUUUUAUAAGGGAAUAAAGUGAGCCUCGUGAGGCUUUUUGCAUGUACCUUAUGAAUAAGGACCGGCUAAUUCCGUGCCAGCAGCCGCGGUAAUACGGAAGGUCCGGGCGUUAUCCGGAUUUAUUGGGUUUAAAGGGAGCGUAGGCCGGAGAUUAAGCGUGUUGUGAAAUGUAGAUGCUCAACAUCUGCACUGCAGCGCGAACUGGUUUCCUUGAGUACGCACAAAGUGGGCGGAAUUCGUGGUGUAGCGGUGAAAUGCUUAGAUAUCACGAAGAACUCCGAUUG
rnacentral:rRNA from 1 species